rnacentral:lncRNA from 1 species
AACUCGUUUAAAAUCGUUUAAAUCAUCCUCGUUUUAAUUUGUGAAAAACUAUUUAUGGUCGUCUCGCUAACAACAUUCAAACCUUCGUGACUCGAUCACCUCGCUUCUCGCUUCUCGAAUUAACAAACCACCAAAGGGUAAGUUAACAAACAUCAGAUUCAGUCGCUACCCACAACCCCCACACAUAACCAUGGGUGUAGUAGAUAACGGGAUUUGUCAGAUCCUAUGGUACCAUAACCUAAUACUGGUCGGUUGGGCCAAAAUUAAUGAAUGUCAUUUGUUAUGUAACUACAACCAUCAAGUUUUGUUCACAUUAUUGAAAUCGUUAUUAGUUUAGUAAAAAUCGUUGUAAUCGUUUUUGAAAUCAUCGUUUUAACCUUGAAAACAUUUCGUACAUAUGAAUCACCCCAAAACAUUUAAAAACAG